rnacentral:snRNA from 11 species
AUACCAUUACCUGGCAGAGGAGACACCAUGACCACGAAGGUGGUUUUCCCAGGGAGAGGCUUAUCCAUUGCACUCUGAGUGUGCUGACCCCUGCAACUUCCCCAAAUGUGGAGGAAACUGACUGCAUAAUUUGUGGUAGUGGGAGACUGCAUUCGCACUUUACCCUC